rnacentral:rRNA from 1 species
UACGUAGGGGGCGAGCGUUGUCCGGAGUUACUGGGCGUAAAGGGCAUGCAGGCGGUCGGACGCGUUUCGGGUGACAGCGGGUGGCUUAACUACCCGAGUGGUCGAAAGACGGUUUGACUUGAGGACGCGAGAGGGACACGGAAUUCCGGGUGGAGUGGUGAAAUGCGUAGAGAUCCGGAGGAACACCGAAGGCGAAGGCGGUGUCCUGGCGCGUAACUGACGCUGAGGUGCGAAAGCCAGGGGAGCGAACGGG